UGCUAUUUCGAUCCAUUAUAUCACCAUCAUUGUUCAUUGGUUGAUUUAACUCUUUAAGCAGUGUACCGACGAAAUCAUCUUGCUUAUGUUGUUCAUGGUCGUCAAUGAUCGUCUCGAGGGCUUUGUCAAGUUUUUCACCGAGUUUCGUUGUACGUGCUUUGAGUCCCUACACAGUUGAUAAUAAUCAACACCAUUCACUUAGUGGUUGUUUGUAAUGUAUAUGACUAAUUUGUUUUGAUAUGGUCCAUUAAAAUUCACACAAACACAAUACCUGUAGGUCGAAAGCACCCAGAAAAGGAACAACAUCUGCAAGAUUGAAAGCUCCUGCUAUGUGAGUAAGCUCAUCAAUAAGCUCCUUGAGGUUAAAUCCCUGAUACUUCUUCACAUUCCCCAAAACCAUUCUCAAAGUCAUCUCUUCAUUAAGCGCCCCAAUCUUCUUACUAAUGUUGACCACUUCCUUUGCUGAUGCAGCUUCUUUCAAAGAUUCAAUGAAAUGCGCUAGCACCUCCUUCCUCGUUGAUGCAAACGAUUCAAUUUUCGAUGCAGUAAAAAUUGUCAUAUUACAAAUCUUCCUCACACUACGCCAAUAUGAUCCAAGUUCUGUGAAUGCUAUGCCCCU
rnacentral:lncRNA from 1 species